AGUGAACGCUGGCGGUAGGCCUAACACAUGCAAGUCGAACGGCAGCACAGUAAGAGCUUGCUCUUACGGGUGGCGAGUGGCGGACGGGUGAGGAAUACAUCGGAAUCUACUUUUUCGUGGGGGAUAACGUAGGGAAACUUACGCUAAUACCGCAUACGACCUACGGGUGAAAGCAGGGGAUCUUCGGACCUUGCGCGAUUGAAUGAGCCGAUGUCGGAUUAGCUAGUUGGCGGGGUAAAGGCCCACCAAGGCGACGAUCCGUAGCUGGUCUGAGAGGAUGAUCAGGCCAACUGGGACUUGGGCACGGUCCAGACUCCUACGGGAGGCAGCAGUGGGGAAUAUUGGACAAUGGGCGCAAGCCUGAUCCAGCCAUACCGCGUGGGUGAAGAAGGCCUUCGGGUUGUAAAGCCCUUUUGUUGGGAAAGAAAAGCAGCAGGUUAAUACCCCGCUGUUCUGACGGUACCCAAAGAAUAAGCACCGGCUAACUUCGUG
rnacentral:rRNA from 1 species